rnacentral:rRNA from 1 species
AUUGAACGCUGGCGGCAUGCUUUACACAUGCAAGUCGAACGGUAACAGGGUGCUUGCACCGCUGACGAGUGGCGAACGGGUGAGUAAUGCGUCGGAACGUGCCGAGUAGUGGGGGAUAACGCAUCGAAAGGUGUGCUAAUACCGCAUACGUACUGAGGUAGAAAGUGGGGGACCUUCGGGCCUCACGCUAUUCGAGCGGCCGACGUCUGAUUAGCUAGUUGGUGAGGUAAAGGCUCACCAAGGCGACGCUCAGUAGCGGGUCUGAGAGGAUGGUCCGCUACACUGGGACUGAGACACGGCCCAGACUCCUACGGGAGGCAGCAGUGGGGAAUUUUGGACAAUGGGCGCAAGACUGAUCCAGCCAUGCCGCGUGUCUGAAGAAGGCCUUCGGGUUGUAAAGGACUUUUGUCCGGGAGCAAAUACCCAGUGCUAAUAACGCUGGGGGCUGAGAGUACCGGAAGAAUAAGCACCGGCUAACUACGUGCCAGCCGCCGCGGUAACAC